rnacentral:lncRNA from 1 species
AGAGGGGGGAGGGUUUGGGGUAGAUGGGAGGUGGGAUGGGAAGAGAAUAAAAGUUUUAGGGGAAAAGUGGGAGGGAGUAAAAAUUUUGGGGGAAAAUAAAAAGUUUUGAGGGUUUUUUAGAGUAAAAUUUUGAAAAAAAAAUGAAUGGAAGAGUAAAAUUUUGGUGGGAAAUAGAUUUUGGGUAGAUUGGGGGUUGGGAGGGGAGGGGAGUAAAAGUUUUGGGGGAAAAGUGAGAAGGAGUAAAAGUUUUGAGGGAAAAGUAAAAAAGUUUGAGAGUUUAGGGUAAAACUGUAAAAUAUUAUAGUUUGAUAUUCGAAUUAUUCGAAUUAUUCGAG